ACCUCGGAUUCAUGGUUUUGCAACCACUAUUCCAUUUAGGCCCUAUUUCGAGAUGUUACAGGGUAAAGCCAAUGGUUAGAGGCAUCGGGGGUGCAACACCCUUGAUCUAUUCUUAGACUUUAAAUAGGUAGGAUGGUACGGUUGCUGCAUUGAGCCAUGCCACUGAAUCGAGAGCUCCAAGUGGACCAUUUUUGGUAAGUAGAACUGGCGAUGCGGGAUGAACUGGAAGCCAGGUUACGGUGUCCAAUUGCGCGCUAACCUAGAACCUACAAAGAGAGUUGGUUGGUGGUCAUGGAAGUCGAAAUCUAUUAAGGAGUGUGUAACAACUCACCUGCUGAAUCAACUAGCCUCGAAAAUGGAUGACGCUUAAGCACGUGACCUAUACCCGAUUGUUAGGGCAAGGGCCAGGCCUCGAUUAGUAGAAGGGUGUGGUGGUAGCUGCAAAACCUGGGGCGCGAGCCCGGGCAGAGCGACCGUCGAUGCAGAUCUUGGUGGUAGUAGCAAAUAUUCAAAUGAGAACUUUGAAGACCGAAGAGGAGAAAGGUUCCAUAUGAACAACACUUAAACAUAGGUUAGUUGAUCCUAAGAGACAAGGGAAGCCCGUCCAAUAGCACGUUCAGUGCGAGCUUCGAAAGGGAAUCGGGUUAAAAUUCUUGAACAGGGUGGACUGAAGCUUUCUUGAGAAAGUGUUGAUUAAAAUGGGGUUUUCUAGAGUUCGGGUCAAGUAAAUUAUGAAUUGUGUCUGCUCUGUUCAGUAUAGAGUUAAAUGUAAUAUGACUCUUACUGAUGUUAUUAUUUCGGAAAGGGGUCUUCGCCAAGGGGACCCUUUAUC
rnacentral:ncRNA from 1 species